rnacentral:misc_RNA from 1 species
AGAUAAUCGGGGCGCCCAAUCCGGCAACGUCGUAGCCGCUCUAUGCUGUGCCGCGCGAGAUGUGUUGUAAAUGUGUGUGUGUGUAUAUGUGUGCGAGUAUGACUUCACAGCAGUAACAUAGACCUGGUUCAAUGGAAAGUAGGUCAGUCACUUUCACUUGUUAUUACACGGGUCCGCCGUAAUCAUUUCGUACCGUACCCCCGUUGAAGCCGGUCGCUCGGGGGUUCUUCCAAUCCGCUGACGACUACUACUUCUUCUUCUUGGUCAGUCUCGUGCAACCUCCCAUCGGAGUCGGACGUUGUUCGUUCUUCCUCCCUUCUUGUUUUCAUUUCCGACCGAAUCGUCGUCGCGAGUGCUGUGAUUGUUGCUUCUUCAACAUUGGAUUAUACAUUAGUGCCUUCGAUAAUGUUCAUAAGGAUUUUUUGAAAGGUUUUAGUGAGAAAUGUUACUCGAAAUGGAUAACCACUCAACGUUAUUGUCCCUGAACAUGUCCCCGUUUAACGCGAACCACCAGGGGGAUUCCCCGGUGACCACCUCGAGCCCCCUGAGCCACUACGUCGGCUCGCCCCCCCUGUCUUACAGUAACUGUCAGCAGUCGAUGGGGGCCGCGAUGCCCCAGCACCAACAAAACAUGAUGAUGUCCCAUCAGGCGAUGCCCAAUAUAGAUCCCUCUUAUUUUUUCUCCCCAGGAACCCAAACGAUCGCCGGAUUGGACAUGGGGGCCGCCUAUCAGAUCUCCUCGAACCUGGGCGGAGGGGCGACGGGGAACGGGGGCGCGGGCUCCGGUAGUCCCGAUGUGCCGGACAUCAAGGACGUCAUCGAGGAACUGUGUCCGGUGUGCGGGGAUAAAGUGUCCGGGUACCAUUACGGAUUGUUAACGUGCGAGUCCUGCAAGGGGUUCUUUAAACGGACCGUGCAGAACAAGAAAGUUUACACGUGUGUCGCGGAACGGAGUUGUCACAUCGACAAGACGCAGAGGAAACGGUGCCCGUUUUGUCGCUUCCAGAAGUGCCUCGAUGUCGGCAUGAAGCUCGAAGCCGUACGAGCGGAUCGCAUGAGGGGCGGCAGAAACAAAUUCGGACCAAUGUACAAGAGAGACAGGGCGCGCAAACUGCAAAUCAUGCGACAGAGACAGUUGGCCGCGCAGACGAUACGCGGUGCGCAGCUACAGCCCGAGGGCCUGUACAGCCCCCAACCGGGCACCUCUUCCUACGCCAACAUUCAUAUUAAACAAGAAAUUCAAAUACCUCAGGUUUCUUCCCUCACGUCGUCCCCGGACUCAUCCCCCUCGCCGAUCGCGGUCGCCUUAGGCCAAGUCAGCUCGCACAUGCAACUGUCGGGUCAGCAGUCGGCCCUCCAGAUCGUCGGCGGGGUGGCGAACAACAAUCCCGCCUCCCAGAGCCAACUGGACCAGAAACUGUGGGGCACCGCCAACUCGACCACCACCUCGCCCCACUCGCUCAGCCCCAAAUCGUUCCAGUUCGACACGGUGGUACCGGGUGGUGGCGGAGGUGGGGGCGGCGGCGGGGUGCCGAACCAAAACAAAGUGUCGCCCCUAAUUCGGGAUUUCGUGCAAGGAAUCGACGACCGGGAGUGGCAGAACUCGUUAUACGGACUCUUGCAGAGCCAGACGUACAAUCAGUGCGAGGUCGAUUUGUUCGAACUCAUGUGUAAAGUUUUAGAUCAGAAUUUGUUCUCGCAGGUGGACUGGGCGAGGAAUUCGGUGUUUUUUAAGGAUCUCAAGGUGGACGAUCAGAUGAAACUGCUCCAACACUCCUGGUCGGACAUGCUGGUCCUGGACCACAUCCACCAGCGCAUGCACAACAGCCUGCCCGACGAGACGACGUUGCACAACGGGCAAAAGUUCGACCUGCUCAGUCUCGGGCUCCUCGGGGUGCCCGCCCUCGUCGACCACUUCAACAACAUAACGGCGAAGCUCCAGGAGCUCAAGUUCGACGUCAGCGACUACAUUUGCAUCAAGUUCAUGUUGCUGCUGAAUCCAGAAGUCAAGGGGAUCGCCAACAGGAAGCACGUGCACGAGGGUUACGAGCAAGUGCAGCACGCCCUACUCGAAUACUGUUUGACGUGUUACUCCCAGAUUCCUGACAAAUUCAACCGGAUGCAGUCGAUCCUCCAAGACAUCCACUCGCUGGCGGCCCGUGGCGAGGAGCACCUCUACGUGAAACACUGCAACGGUUCCGCGCCGACGCAGACCCUCCUCAUGGAAAUGCUCCACGCGAAACGGAAAUAACCAUCCCUCACCCCCCGACGCACCACCCCCACCACAUUGUUGGAUGAUACCACGACGUUACCAUAUCCGUGUGCAAUAGCGGCUUACCAGAUUAAAAAUUUCGUGUACAUAGUGAGGUUAUGUAUUAGAAGAGGACGAAAGAGGGAAAUCUCAUAAAAGUUGUUAAUUAUUUUUUUUUGUCUUGUUUUGUUUGUUUGUUAAGUCUCGGGGUUGAAAACUAAGCGGGAAAAUCGAACUACGGAUGCCUUGACGAAGUACAAAAGAGUGGGGCUGUUUGUUUGUUUUUUCGUUAAAAUUGAGGACUUUCGUUUUAAUUAAUUAAUUAAAAGGCGGCCACGGUACCACUCGGAUUUCUCGUUUGUUUUAGUGCUUAGUUUAGGAAUUUUUUUUUUAUUAAGUUUGUGAUACCGGGCCGGGGCGAGGGUGGGGGGCGCGGCACAUGGGCGUGGCUUGCCCCCUCCCCCCUUCAGUUGUUUAUUCUGGUAAUUGGGCCGGAGUUGUAGAGGUUCAAUUAAUGGCUGUGAUAAUACUUAAUUACUUCUCUUAUUUUUUUUUUAAUUGUAAACGGGAUAUUUGACCGGUUCACACCUGUUUUGGAGCAAUUAAUUAAUUGUUUCCACCCCACCUAAGUAGCUGGAAUUCUGAAGAUGAGUUUGGUACCAAAAACGUCUAUCUGGAACGAAAAUUCGACCAAAAUAGAGCAUUUUUGGUUGACUAAUAAGUAGUCGCACACUCCCCUGGAUUUUUUCCAGAAUUUUCCAGGGAUUUAAGAACGGUUUUUUGUAAGGGUUGUGCGUUGUUUAACAAACAUUUUGGUGCAUAAAUGACCCCUGUGGCUCAAAUAGUUUCUGAGUUACAUUCAAUUUUCUGAGGCAACGUCUGAAGAAAUCACUUUUUUAUAUUUUCUGGGUAUUUUCGCCUGUAACUCAAAAACCGCUCAAAGAAAAUUUACGAUUCUUUACACUAAAAUGACAGCAACCCUGAGGAUGGAUUUGAAGUAAAAAACGUUGCUCUAAGUAAAAUAUUUGGGCAGAACGAGCUUGUUUGGUUCAGUCGUGGUUUAGACCAAAGAUCCAAUAAGAAAAUUAUACAUUUCCCUGGAUAUUUCGCAGAAUUUUCCAGGGAUUUAAAAACGGUUUUCACGUAAGGGUUUCCCGCCUUUUAAUAAACAUUUGGAUGCAUAAAUGACCCCUUUGGCUUAAAUAGUUUCUGAGUUACACCCAAUUUUCUAACCCAAGAUCUUAAAAAAAUCACUUUUUUUAUAUUUCCUCGGAAUUUUCGCCUGUAAAUCAAAAACCGCUCAAAGAAAAUUUACGAUUUUUCACACUAAAAUGACAGCAACCCUGAGGAUGGAUUUGACGUCAAAAACGUCGCUCUAAGUUAAAUAUUUGGUCAGAAAGAGCUUGUUUGGCUCAGUCGUGGCUUAGAUCAAAGUUCCGAUAAAAAAAUUAUACAUUUCCCUGGAUAUUUCGCAUAAUUUUCCAGGGAUUUAAAAAGGGUUUUCACGCAAGGGUUUCCCGCUUUUUAAUAAACAUUUUGGUGCAUAAACGACCCCUUUGGCUUAAAUAGUUCCUGAGUUACACCCAAUUUUCUAACACAAGGUCUUAAAAAUCACUUUUUUUAUAUUUCCUGGGCAUUUUCGCCUGUAAAUCAAAAACCGCUCAAAGAAAAUUUACGAUUUUUUACACUAAAAUGACAGCAACCCUGAGGAUGGAUUUGACGUCAAAAACGUCGCUCUAAGUUAAAUAUUUAUUCAGAAAGAGCUUGUUUGGUUAAGUCGUGAUUUAGACCAAAGGUCCAAUUAAAAGAAUUAUACAUUUCCCUGGAUAUCUCGCAUAAUUUUCCAGGGAUUUAAAAACGGUUUUCAUCUAAGGAUAGCCCGCUUUUUAGUAAACAUUUUGAUGCAUAAACGACCCCUGUGGCUCAAAUAGUUCCCGAGUUACACCCAAUUUUCUAACACAAGGUCUUAAAAAAAUCGCUUUUUUAUAUUUUUCGGGUAUUUUCGCCUGUAAAUCAAAAACCGCUCAAAGAAAAUUUAAGAUUUUUUACACUAAAAUGACAGCAACCCUGAGGAUGGAUUUGAAGUAAAAAACGUCGCUCUAAGUUAAAUAUUUGGUCAGAAAGAGCUUGUUUGGCUCAGUCGUGGCUUAGACCAAAGGUCCGAUAAAAAAAUUAUACAUUUCCCUGGAUAUUUCCCAGAAUUUUCCAGGAAUUUAAAAACGGUUUUCACAUAAGGGUAGGGAGUUUUUUAACAAACAUUUUAGUAUAUAAACGACCCCUGUCGCUCAAAUAAUUUCUGAGUUACACCCAAUUUUCUAACACAAGAUCUUAAAAAAAUCACUUUUUUUAUAUUUCCUCAGAAUUUUCGCCUGUAAAUCAAAAACAGCUCGAAGAAAAUUUACGAUUUUUGACACCAAAAUGACAGCAACCCUGAGGAUGCAUUUGACGUCAAAAACGUCGCUCUAAGUUAAAUAUUUGGUCAAAAAAAAACUUGUUUGGCUCAGUCGUGGCUUAGACCAAAGUUCCUAUAAAAAAAUUCUACAUUUCCCUGAAUAUUUCACAGAGUUUUCCAGGGAUUUAAAAAGGGUUUUAACGAAACUAUUGGGCGCCCUUUAACAAACACUUUGAUAUACAAACGACUCCUGUAGCUCUAAUAGUUUCUGAGUUACACCCGAUUUUCUGAUCCAAGGUCCAUGACCAGAGUAAUUUGUACAGUUUGGAGCAUAUUUCAAGAACCACUGCGACUAAAUUCAUAAUUUUACUCAGUAAAAUAAAACGGAUCCUGAUGAUGGACUUGGAAGCAGAAACGUCAAAAACUUUUUAAACUACUGUCGUUUUUUUUCCGACGAAACGUGAAAAAUCGAACGGACUUAAAUCAGGAAGUCGAGCAGGCCAAAUGUUAAUAAAUGGGCACCUACCUUGCUUCUCUUUCCAGUCUCCGUCUGGACGCCGUGGUGUCCCGAGAAUCUGCAAAGAACAACAAACAUGUUAGAAAAAGACAGACUCAUUGGUUUUAUGGUGAACUACGAGAAAAAGUCACCGGGUGCCAAAUCGGGCCACCAAAUAUCCCGUUUCGCUGUCAUCUCGUGUCUCUUUUUUGUAAAUCUUUAACGAACGGCGCAAGCGCGCCACGUCACUUAGUCCCGCACUCGUCCCACCCGCUCGGCCCAGUACGACCGUUAUAUCGUGAAGGGGUGUGCCAUCCCAGUUUUUUUUUUUUAACUAAUAGUUCGUAAACGCUACACAUUCCAGGCAAAUGUGCUCCCGAGGGAUUCAAGGGCAUCUUAGACAUGUAAAUUUUGUUUUGUUUGGGUGGAUGCGCGUGUGAGAGAGAGAGAGUGAGUGACAGGACGCACUUUUCUAGCUUUUACUUUUUCGUGGUGAAGGACUAACCCUAAUUUUGUAUUUAUCGAUAAGUUUCGUUUUUUAUUUUCUUAGGUUAAGUGUAAACAUGAUUUUUUUUAUAUAGGCGUAACCCUGCCCCCCCCCUGUUUCUUUAUAUGGCGGUACCGUGGUCCUAAAAAGUUUUUUUUUGCACUAAAUCGAUAUUUUUCUACAUAAAGGGAACAUCCGAACAUCGAAACUGGAACAAUGUGAGCAUGCAAUUUGAUAAACCAUACAUAAAUAUGUUCUUCUUUUGUUUUUUUUUUAAAUGAUAAAAUUGUGAUAAUGCGAGCUGUAGGAGGUUUUAACGGUAGUUUUUAGGUGGUAUUGUAUAAAAAUUUGUUCAGUUUAAUGGCAUUAAGUUUGUUUUUUGCUAUGGGGUGGCUCAAAUAUUUGGAAUAUUGCGCGAAACACACGGCGUGUUAGAUCCGGUUGACGUGCGGACCACACCAGAAAAAAACUUCCCGGUUUAUAUUUCGGAAGAUCUUUUAAUUGUACAAUUCAUGGGUGAUGGGCGCCCCUGGUUGGUUUGCCAUUAUUUGGUACUAAAAAGAGUAAAAUCGCAGGUUCAUUUGGUACAAUUUUUUUAAGUUCAAAAAUGUACUGAAAAGCACCUAAGCCUGAUCAGGGGCAAUAGUUAAUAUUCUUAGUACAAUUAAACGGUAUAUUAUUGACUACACUUAGGUAUAUAGUAAUUUAAUUGUACUAAAAUAAGUAUGGGUGAAUUCAAUUUCAGGAAAAUGUACUAAAGAUGACCUCUUUGAGGGUCAAAGAACAUAGUUUUUCCCUACCAAAAAAAAAUUAGUAAUUUCUGGUCAGGUCGAUCUUGUACAUUUUUUUGAUUUUAUAAAAUGUACUUAAAACAACCUUUGCCUGGGCAUGCGUGGGGAUUUUAAUAUUUUUAGUACAAUUAAACUAUUACCUGGUGAUACAAGCAUAAGUUUGUACUAACCUAAUUGUACCGAAAACAAUAAGGUCUAAUGGGUGAACCCAGUUGAAAAAAUGUACUAAAAACCUCCUGCAAAAAAAAGUUAUCUCGGAAAAGGUCGAUUUCGUACAAUUGUUUAUAGCAGAUGAAUUCAGUUUAAAAAAUGUACUAGAAACAUCCUUUGCUUGGUCAUGCGUGCGAAUAUAUAGAAGAUAUUACUUGGUGAUGCAAGGCCUUUAGCCACACAUAGGUUUGUACUAACUUAAUUGUACCAAAAAUUUUAAAAUCUAAUGGGCGAAUCCAGUUAAAAAAAUGAACUAAAAAUAACCCAUUCAAGGCCUUUUUUUUAGUACAUUUUUAUGCAAGGAACGUGGUUUCCCCCCUCCCCA